ACUGGCCUUAGGAUUUUGAGAUAUCAUAGGCCAAAUGGAAUGAAUGAAUGAAGAAGGGGAAUAAGAUGAAGAGGGAAGGGAAUGGAUGAAAACACAAAUUGAUCAAAGAAGGACUUUUACCAAAUUAAUAUCAUCCAUUCAUUUUGGGAGAUGGAAUAUACAUUCCAUCAAUCCCCUAAAUCCAAUGAUAUUAAUUUGACAAAGUCAAAUCAACCUUGACCAAGGCCCAACAACAAUAAUCAAACUCAAACAAAUCAUCACAAUUGGUCAACAAAUUUAUUUGGCAUUUAUUCAAAU
rnacentral:lncRNA from 1 species